UAAUACUCCAUAGAUUAGAGACACUGGAAUGUUCUUUAGUCGAAAGUUCUGGCGCCUUAGGAUGGAUCUGCGGUCGAUUAGGUUGUUGUUGGGGUAACGGCCCAACAAGCCUGUAAUCGAUACGGGUUGUGGGAGCAAGAGCCCGGAGAUGGGAUCUGAGACACGAUUCCAGGCCCUACGGGGCGCAGCAGGCGCGAAAACUUUACAAUGCAGGAAACUGUGAUAAGGGAACUCCGAGUGCCCGUAUACGCGGGCUGUCCAGGUGUUUAAGAAUCAUCUGAAGAAAGGGCCGGGCAAGACCGGUGCCAGCCGCCGCGGUAAUACCGGCGGCUCGAGUGGUGGCCACUAUUAUUGGGCUUAAAGCGUCCGUAGCUGGACCGAUAAGUCUCUUGGGAAAUCCGCCGGCUCAACCGGCGGGCGUCUAAGGGAUACUGUUAGUCUAGGGACCGGGAGAGGUGAGAGGUACUCCGGGGGUAGGAGUGAAAUCCUGUAAUCCCCGGGGGACCACCGAUGGCGAAGGCAUCUCACCAGAACGGCUCCGACAGUGAGGGACGAAAGCUGGGGGAGCGAACCGGAUUAAAUACCCGGGUAAUCCCAGCCGUAAACUAUGCGCGUUAAGUGU
rnacentral:rRNA from 1 species